UAUAUAGGGGUAUUGGACGUUGGGUAGAAUCGGUUACGGAGGCCGAAAAACGUUGAAAAUGCACCAAGUUCACAGCAUCCAAUCGGCUAAAUAACAACAUAAGAAUGCCAAAAAAAUUAGUCUAGUAGUUGAAGGAAGUGUUCAUCUCAUAAUCUGUCCAAGUUUUAUUGAAAUACCUUCAAUUUUAAGCGAGAAAUAGCCAGCGGGAGCUCGCGAGUUUCGCCGUCGGGGCCGCCCGCCCUCCCCAGCCGCGUACAAAUUUGCCGAGGGUCGGUGACGUAUCAGAGCCCGUCCGCGCGUAGCACGUGCUCUAUGUAGAAAAAACUAGCCAUUUAUUUGUUGCCAAGAAUGCCAGCUUUAAAACGCCGUCUUCUUUUUCAUUGUACGACAUCGGGAUCGAAAAAUAUUCACAUUUGAAACUUUAAAAUCGUGAUUUCUCCGUAACAUGCCUCUUGUAAAAUUUUUAAAAGGUUAGAUUUAUUGAAAAUUCAGAAGAUUUCAUUUCAUUUGGUACCAGAUUCGCAUAUGUAGGAGCACGUGCUACGCGCGGAAUAUGGGGUUACUUUCGAGACAAUUUCGCCUGAGGCGAUUCUGGAGGCGAGUGGUAAACAACAUGGCGGCCGCGAGCACUUCCGUGUUGAACGCUGCCGUUUCGUCUCAAAAUUAUCGCCAUCCGACGUCGAAAACUUCGUUACAACCGGCUCAAAACCAGCAAACUGUGAUGAAGUCGUGUGUUGCAGGAGGAGGGCAUCAGCAUCAACAAACAACUUCCUAGACUUGUUACAUGUCAUUGACGAUGCCAAGAGCUCCCUUCAAGGUGCUCAAAUCUAUUGGCCACUUUAUGGAGAAAAGUAACUGACCACAGAGAAGGAACAUGAAGAAAAGAAAAUUUCUGUGCGUGACUAUGUGGUGGCUGCAUAAAAAGAGGACUGGACAGUUUAUUUAUUACAAUGGGUCAGGUAGCUGGAGAACUCUACUGAAUAGGUUUUAGGCAAGUUUAUGGAGAGAAGAAGAUGGCCAAAAGAACAAUACAAGGUAGUUGAAUUAUCUGUUCACAUCUUUUACUGGCCUGAUCGCUGUCUUGAGUACUUGGUGGACACCAAGUUCAUCCUGUUCUCAAUGCUGACCAGAUACCAAGUAUGUGAAUCGUCUUCCAACAACAAUAUGAUCAUGUCUACAAUACAUGGAUGGGAAGACAUUCAGAAGCAGUACAUCAGCUACUACAACAAAUACUUGGCAAGACAGCAGCCACGGGCGAGGAGGCCAAGGAAGACUCCAAAGAGAACAUCACCUAAAAAAACAGAAAGAACAUUGACUUGAGUAAGAUUGUAUUGGUAACAUUCCAGAAAGUUGUGCUAUGUGUUACUGUACUGUUACAGAUUGUCAAAUUUGAAUUCUUCUGAUCCUUUGCAAGACUGCAAACACAGGCAAGAACCCAUGGAAGAACAUCACCUGAAAAAAAGAAAGAACAUUGACUUGAGUAAGAUUUUAUUGGUACAUAUCAAUAUAUCAUCACAGUCUUCAUAGAUAGCAUAAAAAGUAGUAUUUCUUGAUGAGCUAUGUUAAUUCUGAUGCCAAAUUUAGAUUCAGCAUAUGCCAAAACCCCCCAGUUAGGAAGUAUGUUGAGAUUUACCAAAGCAUGUGAGAAAUAUUGUGGAUUCGCAUAUUUAAUGAGCGACAUUUUGCGGAAAUGUAUCAAUUAAUAUGUCAGAUGUCAUAAAAACACUAUUUCUUGAUGAGUUAUGUUGAUUUUGAUGCCAGAUUUGGAUUCAGCAUGUGCUAAAACCCUCUAGGUAGGAAGUAUGUUGAAAUUUCUCUAAGUAUAUGAGAAAUAUUGUGAUUACGCAUAUUUAAUGAGGGGACUUAGAUUUUUUCUUGACAACCUUAUUUGACGUACGUGCUUUCUCGGUAAAUAUUUGCUAUGUUUCAAGAUUGCACAACUCAGGAAAUAAAGACACUACAAGUAUGAGAUUAAGAUAUGUCUUAGUAUGUUCACAUUAAAGUCAAUAUCAGGUAAAAG